rnacentral:rRNA from 1 species
UGAGGAAUCUUAGACAAUGAGCGAAAGCUUGAUCUAGCGAUAUUGCGUGAGUGAUGAAGGCUAUUUUGGUCGUAAAACUCUUUUUUGGUGCAAAGAUAAUGACAAAACUCCAAGAAUAAGUCCCGGCUAAUUUCGUGCCAGCAGCCGCGGUAAGACGAGAGGGGCAAGCGUUAUUCAGAUUGACUGGGCGUAAAGAACACGUAGGCUGUAUUUGAAGUUGAUAUGUGAAAUCCCAAAGCUCUACUUUGGACGUGCUAUCAAAACCAAAAUACUUGAGUAUGGAAGAGGAGGGUAGAAUUUCUAGUGGAAGGGUAAAAUCUGUAGAUAUUAGAAGGAAUACCAAAAGCGAAGGCAGCCCUCUGGUCCAUGACUGACGCUGAGGUGUGAAGGCAUGGGGAGCAACCGGG